UGGGAAGGAUCAUUAACGAGUUUUGAAAGGGGUUGUAGCUGGCCUUCCGAGGCAUGUGCACGCCCUGCUCAUUCCACUCUACACCUGUGCACUUACUGUGGGUCUCAGGCGAGCGUCGGUCGCUUCGCGGCGUCGUCGUUCAACUGGGCUCACGUUUUACUACAAACUAUUAAAGUAUCAGAAUGUCUACUGCGAAUUAACGCAUUUAAAUACAACUUUCAGCAACGGAUCUCUUGGCUCUCGCAUCGAUGAAGAACGCAGCGAAAUGCGAUAAGUAAUGUGAAUUGCAGAAUUCAGUGAAUCAUCGAAUCUUUGAACGCACCUUGCGCUCCUUGGUAUUCCGAGGAGCAUGCCUGUUUGAGUGUCAUGAAAUUCUCAACCUAACGAGUCUUUGCGGGCUCGGUAGGCUUGGACUUGGAGGUUCUUGUCGGCCUAACGGUCGGCUCCUCUUAAAUGCAUUAGCUCGGUUCCUUGCGGAUCGGCUCACGGUGUGAUAAUUGUCUACGCCGCGACCGUUGAAGCGUUUUGGCCGGCUUCUAAUCGUCUCGUUGGAGACACUACUCUUUAUGACCUUCUGACCUCAAAUCAGGUAGGACUACCCGCUGAACUUAAGCAUAUCA
rnacentral:rRNA from 1 species